rnacentral:lncRNA from 1 species
AGGAUGAAGGAGCAUUGCCACAUGGUUUUGGUGUUUGCUACCAGGGUGAAGAAACUGAUGCAUUGUCUGAUUGUGUUCCUAUGCAUGUGAGAUAUCCUUUAUCAUAUAGAAUUGAUAUUUCUUAUUAAAAUGAUACUUGACUGUAGACAAGGAUUCUGUUGCCAAGGGACCAAAGAUUGUGGAAACAUGUAAGAGCCCUGAUGUUUGUUCAAAUACUUUAUGCGGUAUAAAUGGUAAGGAAUUUGGUUGACCCCAGUUUGUUACUUGGCCACAUUCAGUUUUGCGUCCACAUUUGCUACAUAAUUGAAUAACUGUUAUUUUUGCAGAUGCAUCAUUUCUAUAACAUUGCUCUUUAUUUUACUUGCUAUGAGGUUGAUACUUAUGUUAAGGCUCAUUAUGGUUGUAUUCCUACCAGGUUCCAACAUUUUAAAGAGAAAAAUUGGUACGUAGUUGAUAGAAAAUUGCAAAGUGAGAGGAUCCCCCUGUGUGCAAGUCUUUUUAUUUUUCGCAUAACUGUUAUUCCAUUCUUACCACUCGGUCAACAUACACAGGCUCAAGUGCAUAGUUAUAGAAAAAUAAUUAUUAUUAAGCUUGUGUAGUUACCCCUUGGAAUUGGCAAGGCUUGAUCAUGUGAACUCUUCCUUGUUAUGAUAGAGCACAUGCCAUUGAGCCAACACCUUGGGAAUUUUUUUAUAAUAUCUUUUCUCAGAAAUAUAUUUAGAAUUUCAAACUGGAAAAACUUUUAAGGAUUCUGAUUAUUUUGUUGGGGUGGGGUUGUUGAAAAUUAUUGUUAUUUGAUUAUUGAUAUACUUUUGCAGGAAUUUCUAGGCGAGCCACUUUGUUUGAGAUGAUUAGAGAUUUUGGACAAGCAGC